rnacentral:rRNA from 1 species
ACACUCCUACGGGAGGCAGCAGUGGGGAAUUUUGGACAAUGGGCGAAAGCCUGAUCCAGCAAUGCCGCGUGUGUGAAGAAGGCCUUCGGGUUGUAAAGCACUUUUGUCCGGAAAGAAAUCCUUGGCUCUAAUACAGUCGGGGGAUGACGGUACCGGAAGAAUAAGCACCGGCUAACUACGUGCCAGCAGCCGCGGUAAUACGUAAGGUGCGAGCGUUAAUCGGAAUUACUGGGCGUAAAGCGUGCGCAGGCGGUUUGCUAAGACCGAUGUGAAAUCCCCGGGCUCAACCUGGGAACUGCAUUGGUGACUGGCAGGCUAGAGUAUGGCAGAGGGGGGUAGAAUUCCACGUGUAGCAGUGAAAUGCGUAGAGAUGUGGAGGAAUACCGAUGGCGAAGGCAGCCCCCUGGGCCAAUACUGACGCUCAUGCACGAAAGCGUGGGGAGCAAACAGGAUUAGAAACCCCGGUAGUCCC